UGGGGAAUAUUGCACAAUGGGCGCAAGCCUGAUGCAGCCAUGCCGCGUGUAUGAAGAAGGCCUUCGGGUUGUAAAGUACUUUCAGCGGGGAGGAAGGGAGUAAAGUUAAUACCUUUGCUCAUUGACGUUACCCGCAGAAGAAGCACCGGCUAACUCCGUGCCAGCAGCCGCGGUAAUACGGAGGGUGCAAGCGUUGAUCGGAAUUACUGGGCGUAAAGCGCACGCAGGCGGUUUGUUAAGUCAGAUGUGAAAUCCCCGGGCUCAACCUGGGAACUGCAUCUGAUACUUGCAAGCUUGAGUCUCGUAGAGGGGGGUAGAAUUCCAGGUGUAGCGGUGAAAUGCGUAGAGAUCUGGAGGAAUACCGGUGGCGAAGGCGGCCCCCUGGACGAAGACUGACGCUCAGGUGCGAAAGCGUGGGGAGCAAACAGG
rnacentral:rRNA from 1 species